UACAGAGGUCUCAAGCGUUGUUCGGAUUCAUUGGGCGUAAAGGGUGCGUAGGUGGCGCGCUAAGUCAGGUGUGAAAUUUCGGAGCUUAACUCCGAAACUGCAUUUGAUACUGGCGUGCUUGAGGACUGGAGAGGAGACUGGAAUUCAUGGUGUAGCAGUGAAAUGCGUAGAGAUCAUGAGGAAGACCAGUGGCGAAGGCGGGUCUCUGGGCCGAUACUGACGCUGAGGAGCGAAAGCAUGGGUAGCGAACAGG
rnacentral:rRNA from 1 species